rnacentral:rRNA from 1 species
ACGGAAGGCAGCAGUGGGGAAUAUUGCAUAAUGGGCGAAAGCCUGAUGCAGCGACGCCGCGUGAACGAAGAAGUAUUUCGGUAUGUAAAGUCCUAUCAGCAGGGAAGAAAAAUGACGGUACCUGACUAAGAAGCACCGGCUAAAUACGUGCCAGCAGCCGCGGUAAUACGUAUGGUGCAAGCGUUAUCCGGAUUUACUGGGUGUAAAGGGAGCGUAGACGGAUGUGCAAGUCUGAUGUGAAAGGCUGCGGCUUAACUGCGGGACUGCAUUGGAAACUGUACAUCUGGAGUGCCGGAGAGGUAAGCGGAAUUCCUAGUGUAGCGGUGAAAUGCGUAGAUAUUAGGAGGAACACCAGUGGCGAAGGCGGCUUACUGGACGGUAACUGACGUUGAGGCUCGAAAGCGUGGGGAGCAAACAGGAUUAGAUACCCUGGUA